UACGUAGGGGGCUAGCGUUGUCCGGAAUCAUUGGGCGUAAAGCGCGUGUAGGCGGCCCGGUAAGUCCGCUGUGAAAGUCCAGGGCUCAACCCUGGGAUGCCGGUGGAUACUGUCGGGCUCGAGUCCGGAAGAGGCGAGUGGAAUUCCUGGUGUAGCGGUGAAAUGCGCAGAUACCAAGAGGAACACCUGAGGUGAGGACGGGUUGCUGGGCUGACACUGACGCUGAGGCGCGAAAGCCAGGGGAGCAAACGGG
rnacentral:rRNA from 1 species